rnacentral:rRNA from 1 species
AACGAACGCUGGCGGCAGGCCUAACACACGCAAGUCGAGCGAGGACUUCGGUCCUAGCGGCGGACGGGUGAGUAACGCGUGGGAACGUGCCCUUUGCUACGGAAUAGCCCCGGGAAACUGGGAGUAAUACCGUAUGUGCCCGAGAGGGGAAAGAUUUAUCGGCAAAGGAUCGGCCCGCGUUGGAUUAGGUAGUUGGUGGGGUAAUGGCCUACCAAGCCGACGAGCCAUAGCUGGUUUGAGAGGAUGAUCAGCCACACUGGGACUGAGACACGGCCCAGACUCCUACGGGAGGCAGCAGUGGGGAAUCUUAGACAAUGGACGCAAGCCUGAUCUAGCCAUGCCGCGUGAGCGAUGAAGGCCUUAGGGUUGUAAAGCUCUUUCAGUGGGGAAGAUAAUGACGGUACCCACAGAAGAAGCCCCGGCUAACUCCGUGCCAGCCGCCGCCGUAACAC